CCAAGGAGUCUAACAUGUGCGCGAGUCAUGAGGUUCUACGAAACCUAAAGGCGCAAUGAAAGUGAAGAUCGGCUUUGGUCGGUCGAGGUAGGAUCCCACCCCGCGGGGGAGGGCGCACUACCGGCCCGUCUCAAUAGGUGUCGUCCUAGAGGCGGAGCAAGAGCGUACACGUUGGGACCCGAAAGAUGGUGAACUAUGCCUGAGUAGGAUGAAGCCAGAGGAAACUCUGGUGGAGGUCCGUAGCGAUUCUGACGUGCAAAUCGAUCGUCAAACUUGGGUAUAGGGGCGAAAGACUAAUCGAACCAUCUA
rnacentral:rRNA from 1 species